rnacentral:snoRNA from 1 species
AUAAUACGGGCUCUGUCCAGUUGGCGUAGGCGAGCAUAGGGCUCUGCCCCGUGAUGUACAGUCCCUUUCCACAACGUUGGAGAGAAAGCCGGGCCUUAAGUCUGUACCUGCAUAUUCCACAACUUCUCCAGAGUCCUGUGGACGAUGACUGAGGAGAUAAACCAUGCAGGAAACAUCU